GAUAAUUAUCAAUUCAAUGCAUCAUCUUUGCAGGAUUUACAUCACAGAUAAUGUAUUUUAAUACAUUGAAAAUAGUAAACAUUGCAUAUAUAAUACUUGGACCAUUCUAAUGAUGGCCUACAUUUAACAUGUCAGAACUUAUUGUAGAAAUUUUCCACUGUAAAUUUUGCUUGGAGAAGAAGAAACAUUGAGCAAUGUACACUUGCUAUAAACCAGGGAUGGGCUGUAUUGGCCCUCCAGAUGCUUUGGACUGCUGCAUCCAUCAUCACACAUAAGCAAUGAGUUGCCAGGUGAACUAAAGGAGAAGACCCCUGUGUCUUUAACGGUUGUGAAGAAAAUGGAAUUUCAAGAAGCAGGACUGCUGGAAUUUCCUCUUCUAUAGAACAACUGAAGGCCCAGAAGCCUCUUCUCUCAUUUCAUCUGGACAAUUCAGUUUUUCCAUUCCACGAUAAUCCCGAAUGCUGCCAUUAUUUUAAUAUGGGAAUGCCAAAAGAGUAUGUUAACAGCUCCAGUACACUCUAAACUUUACAAGCUCACACAGCAUUCAAUAA